AAACAUGAAAAGGAAAGAGCAAACACGGGGAUAAAGAAGCUACAAAAUACAACCAAGUGAUGGUAUCACAGAGAUGGUCACCACACAAAAGGUGGCAUUAAGAGCAUGGACUGGCCAGGAGGCAGCAAAAGAGCCAAGGAAAAGCCUGGCCUGGAGUGUCCUGGGCAGCUAUGGCAAAGUACCACACAUGGUGGCUAAAACCGAGGAGUUUAUCUCACUGUCUCACAGUCCUGAGGUGGAAGAGUUCACAAAGUGUCCACAAGGAGGUGGAGCUGAAAGAAGCGGGUCACUGCAGGUGGCCUUGAGGUUGCAUAGCCCUGCUCUGCUUCCUGUUUGCACUCUGCUUCUUGACAGCAGACACAACAUGAACAGCUGCUUCCCAGUCCUGCCACCGUGCCUUCCCUGCCAUGAUGGAUGUACCUCCUUGGACUAUAAGAAGAAAGAAAUCUUCCUUUAGGAUGCUUCUAGUUAGGUGAUGCUGUCCCUGGACUGGUGGGCCUGGGUUCUAUAAGAAAGCAGUCUCAGCAAGCCAGUAAGCAGAAGUUCUCCAUGACUUCUGCAUCAGUUCCUGCCUUCAGGUUCCUGCGCUGUUUGAGUUCCUGUCCUGGCUUCCUUCCGUGAUGGACUACAAAGUGGAUGUGUUAGCCAAAUUAACCCUUUUGCUCCCCAACUUGCUUUUGAUCAUGGUGUUUUAUCACAGCAAUAGAAACCCUAAGACAAGUGGAUAUUCAUUCUAUAAGACUGCCUUCAGCCUAUAUUUCUGUUUCUAGCAAAUGAUUAUCAACAGGCACACACAUGUGCCCACACAUACACAAACACACAUACAUACACAUGCACACAUGCAUGCCUGUACUACUCCUGAGCCAAGGUCAUAAAAGAGUACAUACUUUAAUUUCAGAGCUAUAGGUUGGCUUAAGCUGUAGAAGUUGCUUACAUGGGAAAUGCAGGACUAGGAAGGUUAAUUGUUAUAUUGUUCUCUUAAAGGUGGGUUAAAUAACAGGCUGAUUACACAGUAGGAUAGCAGCCUUAAAUCUUGUGACCUCAAAGUCGGUUAUUAACUCUAGCUGCAAGGUCUAGCACCAGUUCCAGUCUCUUAGUAAAGAGAGUAAUAAAUUUUGUUAUCAUUAUGCAUUGCUGCAGCAGCAUCACUGGUCAGAAGAAAAGGAUCCAAGUCAUGUUUCUGGCCUUGAGGAAAGACAACCUUCUGAAAGCCUGGGAGGUCUCUAAUAGCUAACUAAGCCUUCUCAGGUGACUGUCAGGCCAAGGACUCCUGGUAAAGAAAAGUGACAUACCCUUGCCCUUUCCUCUAACAGUCAAUAAAAAAUGGGCCUGUCUAUCACCUGGACAGGAAAAUAAGCUGUCUGUUUUAGGGAUUUUAAGAAAUAGUAUUGUGAACUGGGCACAGUAGAGCACUUCUGUAAUCCUGGAACUCGAAAGGAGGCAGAGGCAGGUGGAUCUCUGUGAGUUCGAGGCCAGCCUGGUCUAAAAGCGAGUCCAGAACAGCCAAGGCUUCACAGAGAAACCCUGUCUCAGAAAAUAAAAAAGAAAUAGUAUUGUGAAAUGUGUUGGUUCCCUAAUUUCUUUCUCAGCCAAUUUAUUGUUUGUGUAAAGGAGGGCUAUUAGCUUUUUUUUUUUUUUAAAUACUUUUUUACCCAGCCACUCUGCCAAAGGUGUUUAUCAGCUGUAGGAGUUCCCUGGUGAAAUUCGGGAGGGUCACUUAUGUUGGGAACCGUAAGCAGGUACCUCUACGGCCAGUCCCAAGAGACCUGACAAACGGGAUCUCAGGCAUCAGUGAGGCCACCUACGGACCACCUGUGGACUACCUGAGACCACCUGUGCAUGCUCUGGGUCACCUUAAAGAGAACUCGAACCACCUCCUCUCUCUCUCUCUCUCUCUCUCCUACCCUACCCAGAGAUGGUCUCUGUGACCCCCUCCUUCUUCUCUUAAUAAAACCUCCCACGUGGAA